GAUGAACGCUGGCGGCGUGCCUAAUACAUGCAAGUCGAGCGAACGGACGAGAAGCUUGCUUCUCUGAUGUUAGCGGCGGACGGGUGAGUAACACGUGGAUAACCUACCUAUAAGACUGGGAUAACUUCGGGAAACCGGAGCUAAUACCGGAUAAUAUUUUGAACCGCAUGGUUCAAAAGUGAAAGACGGUCUUGCUGUCACUUAUAGAUGGAUCCGCGCUGCAUUAGCUAGUUGGUAAGGUAACGGCUUACCAAGGCAACGAUGCAGAGCCGACCUGAGAGGGUGAUCGGCCACACUGGAACUGAGACACGGUCCAGACUCCUACGGGAGGCAGCAGUAGGGAAUCUUCCGCAAUGGGCGAAAGCCUGACGGAGCAACGCCGCGUGAGUGAUGAAGGUCUUCGGAUCGUAAAACUCUGUUAUUAGGGAAGAACAUAUGUGUAAGUAACUGUGCACAUCUUGACGGUACCUAAUCAGAAAGCCACGGCUAACUACGU
rnacentral:rRNA from 1 species